rnacentral:rRNA from 1 species
AAACCAACAGGGAUUGCCCUAGUAACGGCGAGUGAAGCGGCAACAGCUCAAAUUUGAAAUCUGGCCUUCGGGUCCGAAUUGUAAUUUGUAGAGGAUGCUUUUGGCGCGGUGCCUUCCGAGUUCCCUGGAACGGGACGCCUUAGAGGGUGAGAGCCCCGUACGGUCGGACACCUAGCCUCUGUAAAGCUCCUUCGACGAGUCGAGUAGUUUGGGAAUGCUGCUCUAAAUGGGAGGUAAAUUUCUUCUAAAGCUAAAUACCGGCCAGAGACCGAUAGCGCACAAGUAGAGUGAUCGAAAGAUGAAAAGCACUUUGAAAAGAGGGUUAAAUAGCACGUGAAAUUGUUGAAAGGGAAGCGUUUGCGACCAGACUUUUUCUGGGCGGAUCAUCCGGUGUUCUCACCGGUGCACUUCGUCCAGUCAAGGCCAGCAUCGGUUUUCGGAGGGGGAUAAAAGCUUAGGGAACGUAGCUCCUCCGGGAGUGUUAUAGCCCUUCGCAUAAUACCCCUCCGGGGACCGAGGAACGCGCUCUGCAAGGAUGCUGGCGUAAUGGUCGUCAACGAC